rnacentral:tRNA from 1 species
GCCUUUGUGGUUUAACGGUUAACACACUUGCCGCGAAUUCGAGAGGUCCAGGGUUCGAGUCCCGGCGAGGGCA